ncrna:unclassified sequences Glutamine riboswitch
UACGUUCAUCCCACAGGGACGGAAGUAGCGAAAGCGAAGGAACGCACU